rnacentral:rRNA from 1 species
CCUGAUAUUGAAAUUCGGUACAGUUUGUACAGGAUAGGUAGGAGCCUUAGAAGCGUGAGCGCUAGCUUACGUGGAGGCAUUGGUGGGAUACUACCCUAAUUGUAUUGGAUUUCUAACCCGCAGCACUUAUCGUGCUGGGAGACAGUGUCAGGCGGGCAGUUUGACUGGGGCGGUCGCCUCCUAAAGAGUAACGGAGGCGCUCAAAGGUUCCCUCAGAAUGGUUGGAAAUCAUUCAUAGAGUGUAAAGGCAUAAGGGAGCUUGACUGCGAGACCUACAAGUCGAGCAGGGUCGAAAGACGGACUUAGUGAUCCGGUGGUUCCGCAUGGAAGGGCCAUCGCUCAACGGAUAAAAGCUACCCCGGGGAUAACAGGCUUAUCUCCCCCAAGAGUUCACAUCGACGGGGAGGUUUGGCACCUCGAUGUCGGCUCAUCGCAUCCUGGGGCUGUAGUCGGUCCCAAGGGUUGGGCUGUUCGCCCAUUAAAGCGGUACGCGAGCUGGGUUCAGAACGUCGUGAGACAGUUCGGUCCCUAUCCGUCGUGGGCGUAGGAAAUUUGAGAGGAGCUGUCCUUAGUACGAGAGGACCGGGAUGGACAUACCUCUGGUGUACCAGUUGUCGUGCCAACGGCAUAGCUGGGUAGCUAUGUAUGGACGGGAUAAGUGCUGAAAGCAUCUAAGCAUGAAGCCCCCCUCGAGAUGAGAUUUCCCAACUUCGGUUAUAAGAUCCCUCAAAGAUGAUGAGGUGAAU